GAUGAACGCUGGCGGCGUGCCUAAUACAUGCAAGUCGAGCGAAUGGAUUAAGAGCUUGCUCUUAUGAAGUUAGCGGCGGACGGGUGAGUAACACGUGGGUAACCUGCCCAUAAGACUGGGAUAACUCCGGGAAACCGGGGCUAAUACCGGAUAACAUUUUGAACCGCAUGGUUCGAAAUUGAAUGGCGGCUUCGGCUGUCACUUAUGGAUGGACCCGCGUCGCAUUAGUUAGUUGGUAAGGUAACGGCUCACCAAGGCAACGAUGCGUAGCCGACCUGAGAGGGUGACCGGCCACACUGGGACUGAGACACGGCCCAGACUCCUACGGGAGGCAGCAGUAGGGAAUCUUCCGCAAUGGACGAAAGUCUGACGGAGCUACGCCGCGUGAGUGAUGAAGGCUUUCGGGUCGUAAAACUCUGUUGUUAGGGAAGAACAAGUGCUAGUUGAAUAAGCUGGCACCUUGACGGUACCUAACCAGAAAGCCACGGCUAACUACGUGCCAGCCGCCGCAGUAA
rnacentral:rRNA from 1 species